GUACGGUGCAGUAAUAAACUUAAAAUCUAAAUUGCUAAAAAUUUGAUUAUUGUAUCUACAUAGAUAGCAGUACGGCUCGUUUAGGAGGGCAUGCAAAUUAGAUUAAAUAGUAUCACAAGGCACUAAGCAUUGUUAAAAACGCUAAUCACAGACUGUUUCGGAUAGAGGUUAGAAGAAGAAGACGAAAAUCUUUGAAGCUGCGAUUUAGCUGCUAUCAAGAUUGUGGUACUUCCCCAUCCGAAC